UGUAAACAUCCUCGACUGGAAG
rnacentral:ncRNA from 16 species